rnacentral:rRNA from 1 species
UACGUAGGGUGCGAGCGUUGUCCGGAAUUACUGGGCGUAAAGAGCUCGUAGGUGGUUUGUCGCGUUGUCCGUGAAGACUCACAGCUUAACUGUGGGCGUGCGGGCGAUACGGGCAGACUGGAGUACUGCAGGGGAGACUGGAAUUCCUGGUGUAGCGGUGGAAUGCGCAGAUAUCAGGAGGAACACCGGUGGCGAAGGCGGGUCUCUAGGCCGACACUGACGCUGAGGAGCGAAAGCGUGGGGAGCGAACGGG